rnacentral:lncRNA from 10 species
CAAAAACUCAAAGGUUACUAAGUGCUAAUAGAAAAUCUUCUGUGCUUAGCUUCACUGGAGUGUCAACACUUAAUACUAGUUAUGUAGAAUUACAACUUUAUAUUUAUUACAGUAAAUACACAGGCAUGUAAGGAAAAAUUCUAGAACAGUUUUUCUUAGUAUGGUAAAAAUUUUAAUCACCAUUUCACUUUUGAAGAUCAUUCUCUCUUGCACAGAGCACUAAAUUCAGUACGAGAUCUGCUAUGAUGUUUCUCUCUUAUAUGUAACCAAGAAAUUUCCCAUGCUGUCACUAAGAAUCAGGUAUUCCUCCUGCUUUCUGCUAAAGGACCUAAAAUUAUAUUGGAAAUAUCAUCAAAGGAUAAAUCAUACUGGAUCUUCUUUUGGUUACAUUUAUAGUUUCUGUCACCCACAAUUCCUGGAGGGUAGGAGCUGCCACUCAGUGACCAUGUCAAGGGCACGUUGGCUCUCAGCCCCAGCCACUCUCCCAUGGCCAGCACACAAGGCCACCACAGCCUGGUCCUGACGUGAUACCCAAGACCGGUGGGUACGAGGGGCAUCUGCUUCACUGCUUCUCAAUAUUGGACCAGUUUCUUAAAACUAUUUUCCAGGAAUAGACAAACCCUACCUGCAAACCAAGAAGACAGAUUUUGGCCUAUGUUUAGCAAUAUUCUCUUGCCAUGAUGGAGAGUAUCCUCUCAUGAACAACGAUUAUAAAUCUGUCAAUCACCCUAUGUAACUUCUCAAAUGAAGCAGCUAAAGCCAUAGCUGCCCAAUAAAAAUCUUUAAACUCUUUAGCCACAGUAGUAAUGGAUAACAGAAUACCCCUAGACUAAGUAUUGGUGGAACAGGAAAGAGUUUCUAUGGUAGCUAACAUAUCAUGUUGUGUUUACAUCAAUACAUCUUCUGAAGUUGAAACACACAUGAAAUAAGAAGACAACAAGCUAAUUAAUCACAACAAAUUCCCAGGGAAGAACCAGGUGCCAACUAGUUCUCAGAUAUAUUUUUCUGAAUCCCACAUAGAAUUCAAUGUAUGCCCCCAAGCCAUAUGAAAAUUAAGACUUUACCUAUUACUAAUGCUCAUUUUUGGACAUUUGGUUAUCAAAUGCUGCCUCUGAUGUUAAACCUUUAAACUGUUAAAAGAGAAACCAAUGUAUUAAUAAUGCUAAAUGUUAAUAUUGUACCAGAUAUUAGAGAAUAUCUUCAACUUAAUGCAAAAUGAUUUCAUCCUUUAGGCCCAAACCUGCACCCCUAGUCAGUAGGAAAAAGCUAGAAUGGAUGUUGCCCCUAAUCCCUCAUGACUGAAGAAUGCACAUAGAACAGGGGGGAUUUAAACCAUGACCCAAAGAUUUAGUUAAAGAAACCAAUGGCUAAAAGAAGUUAUUGAGUUUGCAGGUUGGCAGAUUAAAAAAAGAAGAAGAGGAAACAACAACAACAACAACAAAACAACAACAACAACAACAAAAACUUGCUGAAACACUGAAACUCCCUUUGCUUAUUAACUAAAGAACACUGACUGAAAUUGGUUGGACUCAAUAUGGCCAACUAGAGUCUGCACAGAAAGAGCUUGCUGACAUUGCAACCUGAAUUUUCAGUGCAUGUUUCAUAACAGCUCCCUCCAACUUUGUACAUGUGAUCCAUGCGAUAGAAUGAAGUUAACUGUAUGCCCAGGGACUUUCUAGACCUUCUCUUUCCUUCCACCAAUUAUUUGAUCAUCUCAGAAUCCACCUCCUGAAACUUUUUGUAUACAAAUACUGCUUUGAAGCCAGCAUGGGGAGAAAAACUUGAGUUUGACAUGCCUGUCUUCUUGUGAGUCAACUUGCAAAAUAAAGCUUCCCUUUCCUCAAAAACCUGAUGUCAUAGUAUUGUCUUCUAGCACAUGGGGCAGUGAGCCCCGUUGGCUUGAUAACACUUCUAUCACCUAGAAUGGAAACACAGGUAGUUCGAGGGGCAUAGAGUAGAGAAAACAGAGA